GUGCUCGCUUCAGCAGCACAUAUAUUAAAAAUAACGGAACAAUGCAAAAAAGAUUAGCAUUGCCUCCGUGCAAGGAGGACAUGCAAUUUCGUGAAAGUUCCAUAAAAAAA
rnacentral:snRNA from 1 species